UAUCUCUGUAGAGUCUGCAUAUCAAAAGCGGAGGAAAAGAAACUAACAAGGAUUCCCCUAGUAACGGCGAGUGAAGCGGGAAGAGCUCAAAUUUGAAAUCUUCAAGGUUCUACCUUGACGAAUUGUAGUUUAAAGGAGUGUUUUCGGUUAGAGGAGUAGUAAAAGUUCUUUGGAAUAGGACAUCAUAGAGGGUGAGAAUCCCGUAUUUGACUAUUCUUUCUAGCUUUGUGAUACACUUUCAAAGAGUCGGAUUGUUUGAGAAUGCAGUCCAAAAUGGGUGGUAAAUUUCAUCUAAAGCUAAAUAUUGGCGAGAGACCGAUAGCGAACAAGUACCGUGAGGGAAAGAUGAAAAGAACUUUGAAAAGAGAGUUAAACAGUACGUGAAAUUGUCAAAAGGGAAGCGUUUGACACCAGUGUUGUUUUUCCGAAAAUCAAUUAAAAAUUGAUUCAUGCCAGGUUGUAUUGACCUUAUCAGCUUGCAAUUUGGUUUUGGGUCUCUUUUUGAUGCACUUUUCGGUUAACAAGUCAACAUCAAUUUCCUUUGCUGUAAAAAGGUAAGAGGAAGGUGGCUUCAAUUUCGGUUGAAGUGUUUAUAGCCUUUUAUCUCUGCAGUCGGGGAGAUUGAGGUCUGCAGCGUAGAUCCUUCGGGGCUAGAUACAUUUAUGCUAAGUUAUAGCUUUUCAUAGACAACUUGUUAACUAUGUUUAGUCAUGUAGCUUACUCGUAAGUGCUAUUUUACCUACGCUUAGGAUGUUGAGCGCAUGUCUCUCUCU
rnacentral:rRNA from 1 species